AACCAGCACCUCAAGUGGUCAGGAGGAUUAUUGGGCCUAAAGCAUCCGUAGCCGGCUCUGUAAGUUUUCGGUUAAAUCCAUAUGCUCAACAUAUGGGCUGCCGAAAAUACUGCAGAGCUAGGGAGUGGGAGAGGUAGACGGUACUCAGUAGGAAGGGGUAAAAUCCUUUGAUCUAUUGAUGACCACCUGUGGCGAAGGCGGUCUACCAGAACACGUUCGACGGUGAGGUACGAAAGCGUGGGGAGCAAACAGG
rnacentral:rRNA from 1 species